AGCCGGGUGGAGCUGCCGGCUGACCUAGCGGGGAGGCGCCGCGGCCGGGCUGGGGCACCGGGCGAGAGUGGCGGAGGCAGACGUGGGGCUUUGAUUGCCUUAUGGCAGCAAGCGCAAGCCGGAUUGUUCGAGCAACACAAUCUGCCUACUGUGUGCAGAGCAUGGUGAUGGGGGACGCAAAGUGCCAGGUGGAAGACACAAGGAAGUAUAAAAUGGACCGAGUCCUGUUCUCCAGAGAGCUCUCAGGCAGCUAAAGAAGGAUUUCUGUCAGAUAUGUAAACAGGCUGAUUUUCAUCAGGACUAGGAUCUGGAGGAUUUUCAUCAGGACCAGGUUCUGCUUGAGGAAUAAACAGAGCUACUUGUGCAAUAUUGGAUAGUUUUGAUGUCAGAUUGCUUUUAUCCACACUUUGAAUCGCAAUAAAGAU